rnacentral:rRNA from 1 species
UGUUGUGGAUCGAGCGGCGGACGGGUGAGUAACACGUGGGCAACCUACCCAUGAGAUCGGGAUAACUCCGGGAAACCGGAGCUAAUACCGAAUAACCCAGUGAACUGCAUGGUUCACUGGUAAAAGGCGGUUUCGGCCGUCACUCAUGGAUGGGCCCGCGGCGCAUUAGCUAGUUGGUAAGGUAACGGCUUACCAAGGCAACGAUGCGUAGCCGACCUGAGAGGGUGAUCGGCCACACUGGGACUGAGACACGGCCCAGACUCCUACGGGAGGCAGCAGUAGGGAAUCUUCCGCAAUGGACGAAAGUCUGACGGAGCAACGCCGCGUGAACGAUGAAGGUCUUCGGAUCGUAAAGUUCUGUUGUUGGGGAAGAACAAGUGCCAGAGGAAAUGCUGGUACCUUGACGGUACCCAACCAGAAAGCCACGGCUAACUACGUGCCAGCAGCCGCGGUAAUACGUAGGUGGCAAGCGUUGUCCGGAAUUAUUGGGCGUAAAGCGCGCGCAGGCGGUUCCUUAAGUCUGAUGUGAAAGCCCACAGCUCAACUGUGGAGGGCCAUUGGAAACUGGGGAACUUGAGUACAGAAGAGGAGAGUGGAAUUCCACGUGUAGCGGUGAAAUGCGUAGAGAUGUGGAGGAACACCAGUGGCGAAGGCGACUCUCUGGUCUGUAACUGACGCUGAGGCGCGAAAGCGUGGGUAGCAAACAGGAUUAGG